AUUGAACGCUGGCGGCAGGCCUAACACAUGCAAGUCGAGCGGUAGCACAGAGAGCUUGCUCUCGGGUGACGAGCGGCGGACGGGUGAGUAAUGUCUGGGAAACUGCCUGAUGGAGGGGGACAACAGUUGGAAACGACUGCUAAUACCGCAUAAUGCUUUUGAGCGGCAUCGCUUGAAAGCCAAAGAUUUAUCGCUGAAAGAUGGUCUCGCGUCUGAUUAGCUAGUUGGUGAGGUAACGGCUCACCAAGGCGACGAUCAGUAGCCGGUCUGAGAGGAUGAACGGCCACAUUGGGACUGGAGAUACGGCCCAG
rnacentral:rRNA from 1 species